GACGAACGCUGGCGGCGUGCCUAAUACAUGCAAGUAGAACGCUGAAGAGAGGAGCUUGCUCUUCUUGGAUGAGUUGCGAACGGGUGAGUAACGCGUAUGUAACCUGCCUGGUAGUGGGGGAUCACUAUUGGAAACGAUAGCUAAUACCGCAUAAAAUUGAUUAUUGCAUGAUGAUUAAUUGAAAGAUGCAACUGCAUCACUACCAGAUGGACCUGCGUUGUAUUAGCUAGUUGGUGAGGUAACGGCUCACCAAGGCGACGAUACAUAGCCGACCUGAGAGGGUGAUCAGCCGCACUGAGACUGAGACACGGCCCAGACUCCCACGGGAGGCAGCAGUAGGGAAACGUCAGCAAUGGGGGGAACCCUGACCGAGCAACGCCGCGUGAGUGAAGAAGGUUUUCGGAUCGGAGAGCUCUGUUGUAAGAGAAGAACGGGUGUGAGAGUGGAACGUUCACACUGUGACGGUAUCGUACCAGAAAGGAACGGCUAACUACGUG
rnacentral:rRNA from 1 species